rnacentral:lncRNA from 1 species
UGAAAUUGGGAAAGGAAUAGGGGAAGAAAAUGAAGAACAAUGGAAGGGAAUGAAAAGAGAAAAGUGAGAGAGAAGUGAAGAAAUGAAUGGGUUUGAGAUGUGUUUGAAGUGAGUAGACAAUGAGGGUAUUUAUAGGUUAAGAAGACGGAUAAAAAUAGCUAGAAUCAGAAGCCAAAGACUCCCCCAUGGCUGGCCACACA